ACGAAUCAAACAACUGCAUUUUUGUGCUUCAUUUAUUGGAGAGAGCGGAAUGGUGCAAUGUUGAUCAGCGACUGAAACGGUGUUGACCGACGAUCGAAAAGGUGUUUUUCGAUGAGAUAGGUGACCGGAUCAUCUGUGGGCAUCUAUUGUUGGUGUUUUCCGUGCGUGCGUUAACAUUGCUUCGUUUUCUUGGAGCGAGUUGGCGAAGUGUAAUCGGAGGAACAUGCGGUGUCAAUCGGAAAAUCAGAAUCGAUUUUCUUGUAGAUUGCGAACAGAGGUUAGCUUUUUCCGGCGACUUAAAUCGAUUUUGUAAGUGAUUUUUGUUAUUCUCUUUUCCGAUUCAGCAUUCCGUUGUGUAACUGCUUCCUCAAUUUCUUGAUCUUUAUUGAAUUCAUGUGAUCGGAAAACCUUACCGCGGUGCGGUGUUGAAAGGAGAACGAAGGUUGUGCGAUUUCCGGCAAGAUAGGUGAAUGGAAAAUGGCACGCUUAGUUUUAUCUUCUCAAAACGCAGAACAGGGAGGUUUACGGUGAGCUUGUGAUUGUAAUUUCAGCAUGUGACUCUAACAACAGUGCAUUCGGUAAUCUUCAAAGCAUCCACUACACUCCAAUUAGAAUCAGUUCAAGUUUUGCAAUUUUCGUCAUUAAUAGUUGAAGACUGUGCGAAGAACAUUUUUCGGUGCAAUUGUUCUUGAAUUCAGAAUCAAUGUGUAGCGAAUUUGGAGCACAUGUGAGCCGAUGCAGCACUUUGCAUAAGGUUGAGAUAAUUCCUCGAACAGGUUAUGUGUCUCUCUAAUUUCUAAAUUUUGUUGGUGAUUGGAAAAUUACAUUGACUUGGUGAUGUUGCUUGAACCUGCACCGAACUUGUUUGUGAAAAUGUUUCAUUUUAAAGCAAUUUUUUUUGAGUGAAUAAGAAUUAGUGCUGUUAAAUUCCUCUGGUUCACUGUAUUUUGUGCGUCAAUUGUUUCUCCAAUUUACAUUCGUCUGCUUUUGUAAAAUUAUUUUAAUACUAUUGUUGAUUGAAUGAGAGUGACUUCAUGAUGCUUUGUACGAAUUCUGGAGCAGUGAAUGUGUAUUCUGAAAUCCAACAAAUAACGUGAUUUUGGAACUGUUGGACGUAAAAUUGGGUUGUUGUUUACAAUUGGAAAAAUAUCAGGAUAAAUAAACCAAUAUUACUGAUCUUGGAAUAUAUUUUUUUGCCUAUUUUUCGGCAUUGUUUACGCUGUCAAUAUUUAUUAUGGUGUUGCAUGGCAUUAUAUUUUUAUUUUAUAAUUAAUUAAAAAAUUCAAAUAUAGAGAAGAGACAAAUUAUUUCAAGAUAUGUUAAAAGUGAUACAGUCCUUCAUCACUUUGAAUUUAUUUUUCUUCAGAUUUAAAAAGCUUUAGUAUCGAUGGAUUA
rnacentral:lncRNA from 1 species